GGUUUUUUUUUUUGCCAUCUUUGGCCUUGCGCUUUGUAGAUGGACGGAUGAAUUUUCUUAGCAGAUUUUUUAACUGUAAUGGCUUCGUUUGAACGAGAUUUUUUUAGUUAAUUAUUUUCGCACCUGCCACCAUUUUUUAUAUCUGCACUCCAAAGAAGGAGUGCAGAUAUCAAUACCGAUUUUGGUUGUUGUGUGCUUUUCAUCUGGCACUCCCCUUUGGAGUGCAGUUAAAUAAAACAGAAGGAGUUAGAACAAAAAUCACUCUUUUUUUUUCAUAUUUGAGGAACGCAAAAUGGUAAAAUUACAUGAAAAAAUAAAAAAAAAAAUCACUCAUAUCCCACCAAACAUCCAACUGAAACUGAAAUUGUUAACCAAAAAGGCUACACGAUUAAUUUGUCUAGCAAAGGCUACAGUCACUGUAUUUGUUUAUCGUCAUUUUUAACCGAAAGUGCCACGUCAAAAUCGACGUUUUGUUGCUAACAACCAACAAUAAUACGUCCGCGGUUUUUUUUAGCACCAAAACGACGUCUCAUUAUUAGGUGCUUACUGUACCCAUAUGCCGUGAUGUAGCCUUUCUCUUUUUUAGCUAUUCCAACAAUAAAUUUAGUUUUUUAUUUCAUUUUUUUUCUCUCACUAAAUUCUCAAUUCAAAUACAGCCAUAAAGAGAUUUGUGGAGGAAAUGAAAAGAAAAAAGGAGAGAGAAAAAACAAAAAAGAAAUUCCACAAAUAUCUUCACUUUUUUGCCUUUUACGUUUACGACUAUUUAAACUAAUUCAAUUUAGAGAUGGACAAUUUAUAUAAACCAAAAUGAAAAAAGGUACAAAUAAAAAAAGUAAGUGAAAAAGAUCAGUGACGAUAGACACAUAAACUUUUUUUUUCUCCACUAAAUUCUUAAUCCAAACACAGGCUACAAUCUUUCCAAAAAUCUAAGAAGCGAGUGUAUCCUACUUGUUUAAUUUUCAUUCCAGAAAACUUGUUCUUUCUUCGCCCAUCACAAUAAGAUCUUUAGCUCAUCCCCUGAAAUAUCUUGAUAUUUUUUUUGAAAAGAUCACAUCAAAAUUGUUGUUUUUUGUACCUAUUCUACAUGGAUGAUAUCAAAUGUAAUUCAAGCAUUUUUUUGGGGUUAAAAAUGUAAUUCACACAUACACACACAGAUAUUUAUAAUUGGUCAUGCCAAAAAUGAGCAAUACUAAUAAGUCAAGAAGUUUGGAUGUGAAUGACUAGCUGCCACGGACAACAGAUUAAUCUGGAUUUCAUGAUACUGUUAUUAAUAAAAAUAAAAAAAAAGUCAAGAAGUGAAGAAAAUGAAGCCUUUCUCAUGCCUUUUUUAUUAAAAAAAAUGCUAAAAAUUACUCCCUUGGUGCCAUUUUUGUUUUCUUUUUUUAGGAUGUCUCAAAAUAUUUGUCCACUACUAAAAUAUUUUAAACUUUUUGUUUUGCCUUUCACUUAUAAAUUGAUGUGACAGGGCUAUAAGAACAAUUUUUUCACCAAAACGGAAACAUAGACUGUCUGGGCCAGAAAACAUGUCACGUAGGUAAUUUUCGUCAUUAAUUUAAUAAGAAUUUACGUUGGGGACAGAUUGAGAAAUAUUUCAAAAGGUCGGAAAUUUAGGGAGAAUUUUAAAUUUUUCUCUAGUUUUUAUUCUCUUUCAUCUUUCUCGACUCACAAUACUUCCAAGUUCCAAAGACUAUCUAGUUGGAGAUACUUCUUUGUUCCACGGUGGUGAGCAGAUAAUCUCUUCCAUCCGGUUAGGCCCCGUGUGGAUUAGUUUUUUUCCGCUUAAAAUUCUCAAUUUUUUGUGUGUUCGACUUAGAUUUUUUCAGAUAUCCAAAUGAUAUUUUAGCCCUAAAUCAUUUAAGUCAUUAUCAGGGCAGUGCUACAGCAUGAUCAGGAGGGGUUGUAGCCCCCCGUGACUUUUAAAAUAUUACAAAAUUUAUUUAAAUUUUUUUUUUUUUUUUACACUUUAGUCCCCCUUGAAAUAUAUUUUUUUUUUUUAUAUUUUACCCUCCCAAUCUAAAAUUCUGACUCUCUGCUCUUGGUCAUUUUAAUAUAUUACUUGCAUAGUUGAGGUUUUUUGUCAUUUGAAAUAUGAGCCGAACCUAUCUGAAUUACAAUUGAAAUUUAAAUUGGCACUAACUCAUAGGAAUAUCCCAUACGUUAUGGAUUUCAAAAGGAAAGGUAACACACUUCCCAUUCAUUUAAUUUCAACACGCAAACUAGAUAUUUUAAGAUGUUUAGUAACGUUUUUGUUUUUUUAUUUUUUUGUUUGUUUAUUUUUUAUUAGUUUGUUUAGUUUUUUAUAAAAUAAUAUUAAAAUAUAUUUGUGUUCCCUUUUUUUAGCAACUAUUACAAAUAAAAAUAUAUUUAUGUUCAUAUUUUUUAUAAUUUAAAAAAAUAGAGGCAGUAGUGGUGGAUAUGAAUCAUGGAGGACUUGAUAGUGGGAGGUGGUGUGUAGAGACGAAGAUCAUGGAAUAAGGUGGUGUUGGCGGCGGUGUGGAGGGCCAAAAAAAGGUUGGCAAUGUGGCGGCUGGCCAAAAAAAUACACUAUUUUAUUAUUGCACUAAGUUUCAAAAAUAUUGAUCGUAAUUUUUAUCGUGUUUAAAUUAUAAAUAAUAAUACAAGUUUUUUUUUAAUGUAAACAAUAAAAAAAAAUUAAAAUAAAAAAAGUAAAUAAUUAUGCAUUAACCCACAUCCCCUUUAUAUAAACAAUUAUUUUAUUGAACAUAACUCCCAUCUAACCCUUUAAAUAAAAGGAACAACACAUUAUCACCAAGUCCAAAACAAAACAAAAGAAAACACUUAAAAACUUGACACGACACAACUGCUACUAACAACCGACGCUAAUGCAACAAAUUAGAGGAUGGAUUCCACGUACCCACCCUCUAGAUUUGGUGCACGGA
rnacentral:lncRNA from 1 species